UACGUAGGGUGCGAGCGUUGCCCGGAUUUAUUGGGCGUAAAGGGCGCGUAGGCGGCCACGCACGUCCGUUGUGAAAUCGCCCGGCUCAACUGGGCGGGGUCGGCGGAUACGGCGUGGCUGGAGCAAGCUAGGGGGCAAUGGAAUUCCCGGUGUAGUGGUGGAAUGCGUAGAUAUCGGGAGGAACACCAGUGGCGAAGGCGGCUCUCUGGACCUCUGCUGACGCUGAGGCGCGAAAGCGUGGGGAGCGAUCCGG
rnacentral:rRNA from 1 species